GACGAACGCUGGCGGCGUGCCUAAUACAUGCAAGUCGAGCGGACCAAAGAGAGCUUGCUCUUUGAGGUUAGCGGCGGACGGGUGAGUAACACGUGGGCAACCUGCCUGUAAGCUUGGGAUAACUCCGGGAAACCGGUGCUAAUACCGAAUACAACAAAGGACCGCAUGGUCCCUUGUACAAAGACCUUGUGUCACUUACAGAUGGGCCCGCGGCGCAUUAGCUUGUUGGUGGGGUAACGGCCUACCAAGGCGACGAUGCGUAGCCGACCUGAGAGGGGGGUCGGCCACACUGGGACUGAGACACGGCCCAGACUCCUACGGGAGGCAGCAGUAGGGAAUCUUCCGCAAUGGACGAAAGUCUGACGGAGCAACGCCGCGUGAGCGAUGAAGGUUUUCGGAUCGUAAAGCUCUGUUGUCAGGGAAGAACCGCCGGGAUGACCUCCCGGUCUGACGGUACCUGACGAGAAAGCCCCGGCUAACUACGUGCCAGCAGCCGCAGUAACAC
rnacentral:rRNA from 1 species